rnacentral:rRNA from 1 species
GUGUCAGCAGCCGCGGUAAGACGAACCUUGCUAACGUUAUUCGGAAUCACUGGGCUUAAAGGGUGCGUAGGCUGUGCGGAAAGUUGGGUGUGAAAUACCUCGGCUUAACCGAGGAAUUGCGCCCAAAACUACCGUGCUCGAGUGAGACAGAGGUGAGCGGAACUUAGGGUGGAGCGGUGAAAUGCGUUGAUAUCCUAAGGAACACCGGUGGCGAAAGCGGCUCACUGGGUCUUGUCUGACGCUGAGGCACGAAAGCCAGGGUAGCGAACGGGAUUAGAUACCCCUGUAGUCC